GGAUGACUUCUCAGAUUGAAGGUCAAGGAAGUAUGGCCGUGUUAGCGCUGGGGCUCCAGUGAGGCUGACCCGUGCUGGGGCACGAAGAAACAGGUCCCCUCCUCUCCUGGUUAUCGGGUCUUGGAGAGGCCUGGGGGAGUGUCAUCAGGAAGCCUGUGGAGCUGCCAGAGGCCUCCCUCCCUCCAGAUUUAAUUCAACAGCUGCCUCUAAGCCGAGACAGAGCCAGCGGGUCCCCUCUCCUGGAGACGCUGUGGCCGGGUCGUGUGACUUGCCGCCCCACGGGCGGGGGAGCCACGUGCUCCUUGGAGCUGUCUUGUCAGGAAUGUUCAACUGGCCUCAUCUGCCCUCCUCUUGCUGCAGCUGACGCGGGGGCCUGUCCCCAAGAGGGGAGCCUGAGGAGCAGAGGGAAGAGAGGCUUCAUUUUAGCAUUGUAUCGUCAUAACAAACACUUCUCAGCAAUUUUCCAAAGCUGUUUAAAAUCAUCUUAUCCGCCAUAAAAAUUUUAAAAACUGUU